rnacentral:SRP_RNA from 1 species
GGUGGGGGCCGAACGGCCAGCUCCUUCUGAAUCCCCCCAGGGUGGAAACACAGCAAGGGUAGGAGGUUGAGCGGUUAGGUUCGUGUUCCCACUUUUUU